rnacentral:rRNA from 1 species
CGGGGGAGCAAGCGUUGUUCGGAUUUACUGGGCGUAAAGGGCGCGUAGGCAGCCACCGCAAGUCGACUGUGAAAUCUCCGGGCUUAACCCGGAAAGGUCAGCCGAUACUGCGGGGCUAGAGUGCAGAAGGGGCAACUGGAAUUCUCGGUGUAGCGGUGAAAUGCGUAGAUAUCGAGAGGAACACCUGCGGCGAAGGCGGGUUGCUGGGCUGACACUGACGCUGAUGCGCGAAAGCUAGGGGAGCGAACGGGAUUAGAUACCCCGGUAGUCCUAGCCUUAAACGAUGAAUGCUUGGUGUCUGGGGUUUUAUAGUCCCCGGGUGCCGUCGCUAACGCUUUAAGCAUUCCGCCUGGGGAGUACGGUCGCAAGGUUG